ACCUACGGGAGGCAGCAGUCGAGGAUCUUCGGCAAUGGGCGCAAGCCUGACCGAGCGACGCCGCGUGCGCGAUGAAGGCCUUCGGGUUGUAAAGCGCUGUCGGGAGGGAGAAACCCCGCAAGGGUUGAUCGACCUCCGGAGGAAGCACGGGCUAAGUUCGUGCCAGCAGCCGCGGUAAGACGAACCGUGCGAACGUUGUUCGGAAUCACUGGGCUUAAAGGGCGCGUAGGCGGGCCUCCAAGUCCGGGGUGAAAGCCCCCAGCUCAACUGGGGAAGCGCCUUGGAUACUGGGGGCCGCGAGGGGGGUAGGGGCGCGCGGAACUUCCGGUGGAGCGGUGAAAUGCGUAGAUAUCGGAAGGAACACCGGUGGCGAAAGCGGCGCGCUGGGCCCCUUCUGACGCUGAGGCGCGAAAGCCAGGGGAGCAAACGGGAUUAGAUACCCCGGUAGUCUCG
rnacentral:rRNA from 1 species